CAGUGUGUUAUUUUCUGUUUUAAUGACAGCAUGUGCCACCUGGCUUGUGUUGUAGUAGACUCAGUUUCUUUUCCCUUCUUUUUAAUAUUUAAAGUUUAUGAAGUCCAUAUCUGUCAGCAUUUACCUUUCUUUGGGUACUGACUGUAGAAGUUCAGUAAUGAGAAGUGGCUGAUACCUGGAGGAAAUUGAGGGAUAGAAACCCUGACGUGUCCUGUCCAUGUGCUACAAGCUCUUGAAGAAUGUGUCUGAAUAUGAGUCAGAAUGUGUAUGUAGAACAUCAAACAGAAGACGGUAUGCAGAGACUGAUGAGGCACUGGAGGAAGUUGCCCAGAGAGGUGAUGCCUCUGGAGACAUUCAAGGUCAAACUGGACGGAUUUUGAGCAACCUGAUCUAGCUGUAGGCCUCCCUUUUCAUUGCAGGGGAGUUGGUCUAGAUGACCUUUAAGGGCCCUUUCCAAUGCUAAGAAUUCUAUGAUUGUAAUUAAAAAUAUACUUUCAAUUUGCAUUAGUGAUAUAUUCACACAAGUUACAGAGAGCUUUUAGGAUAGACUUGACAUUAAAAUCUAAAAAAA
rnacentral:lncRNA from 1 species